rnacentral:tRNA from 1 species
AUUUCUUUAGUAUUAGUUCAGUACAAGUGACUUCCAAUCACCUAGUCUUGGUUUGAGUCCAAGGAGAAAUA